CUAAGCUUGACAUCCCAAUGACAUCUCCUUAAUCGGAGAGUUCCCUUCGGGGACAUUGGUGACAGGUGGUGCAUGGUUGUCGUCAGCUCGUGUCGGGAGAUGUUGGGUUAAGUCCCGCAACGAGCGCAACCCUUGUCUUUAGUUGCCAUCAUUAAGUUGGGCACUCUAGAGAGACUGCCAGGGAUAACCUGGAGGAAGGUGGGGAUGACGUCAAAUCAUCAUGCCCCUUAUGCUUAGGGCUACACACGUGCUACAAUGGG
rnacentral:rRNA from 1 species